rnacentral:lncRNA from 1 species
UGACAUAGGAUUAGUGGUCAGAUACUUUUUCUUCUAGAAACCGAUAGAGUAGACAGCUUAAAGAACUAGCAGCCAUUCAUUUCAUUGUCUUCCUGAUACUCCCACCAAUACUGGGAAUUUUAACCCUUCCAUCUUAUCUUUCACUGCUGCUAUACAUCACUCAAAAAUGCUGCCAUUUUUCUAUAUGACUCCUUUCCACUUGGCUAGAGUAUAAGAAUCUUACCCAAGUGAAAGCAAUCUUCCCUUCCAAAAACCUUCUCCUCUAGCUGCAAGAGGCUAACCAACAACAGAGAACUAUUUAUUACAGAUAAGCAUGUCUUGAAGGAAUAAUGAAGACUGACUGUAAGCAUCUAGAUUUGUCAAGUAGAAAGUCAUCAGUUCUACAGAGGAAGCAGCUUCAACAGACACGUGAAACAUUUGGUGCCAAAACCCGGGUCAGCGGGACUCCUUCGGGAGACCAGUCCACUGUCCUCAUCCUCGCUCUGUGAAGAGAUCCACCUACGACCUCGGGUCCUCAGACCAACCAGCCCAAGGAACAUCUCACCGAUUUUAAUUGGGUAAGCGGCCUCCUUUUACUCUCUUCUCCAACCACUCUCACUAUCCCUCAACCUCAUUCUCCUUUCAAUCUUGCCGCCACCCUUCAAUCUCUCCCUUCUCUUAAUUUCCAUUCAUCUUCUGGUAGCGACAAAGGAGACAUGUUUUAUCUGUGGACCCAAAACUCCAGCGCCAGUCACGGACUCGGGAAGGCAGCCUUCCGUUAGUGUUUGAUCAUUAUGGGUACGCCUUUCUUAUUAUUCACACACAUUCCAUUGGUGUCUGAUCUCCGUGGGGACGCCUGCCUUGAUCAUUCACCCACGUUCCUUUGGUGACAAGUCAAUUGAGGGGACACCUGCUUUGGCUGCACACCCACGUUGCAGCCCAGGGCUGCUCCCCACCCACUUCUCUUCUGUCUCUACUCCUUCUUUAAACUCUUGCCUCCUUCACUGUGGGCAACUUUCCACCCUCCAUUCCUUCUUCUUCUCCCUUACCCUGUAUUCUUGAGAAUUUGAAACCUCUUCAACUCUCACCAGACCUAAAAUCUAAGCGUCUUAUUUUCUUCUGCAAUGCUGCUUGACCCCAGUACAAACUCAACAGUAGUUCCAAGUGGCCAGAGAAUGGCACUUUCGAUUUGUCUAUCCUACAAGAUCUAGAUAAUUUUUGUCAAAAAAUGGGCAAAUGGUCUGAAGUGUCUGAUGUCCAGGCAUUCUUUUACACUUUGGUCCCUCC